GACGAACGCUGGCGGUAUGCUUAACACAUGCAAGUCGAACGAGACGAGAUGGAAGUGCUUGCACGGAAAUCUUAGAAAGUGGCGAACGGGUGAGUAACGCGUGGGUAACCUGCCCUAUGGAAAGGAAUAGCCUCAGGAAACUGGGAGUAAUGCCUUAUAAUAUAAAGAAGUCGCAUGGCUUUUUUAUUAAACGCUCCGGUGCCAUAGGAUGGACCCGCGUCCCAUUAGCUAGUUGGUGAGAUAACAGCUCACCAAGGCGACGAUGGGUAACCGGUCUGAGAGGGCGAACGGUCACACUGGAACUGAAACACGGUCCAGACUCCUACGGGAGGCAGCAGUGGGGAAUAUUGCGCAAUGGGGGAAACCCUGACGCAGCAAUACCGCGUGAGUGAAGAAGGUUUUCGGAUCGUAAAGCUCUGUUAUUGGGGAAGAAAAAAAGACGGUACCCAAGAAGAAAGUCCCGGCUAACUACGUGCCAGCAGCCGCGGUAAUACGUAGGGGACAAGCGUUGUCCGGAUUUACUGGGCGUAAAGGGCACGCAGGCGGUUUUUUAAGUCAGAUGUGAAAGGUACCGGCUCAACCGGUGACAUGCAUUUGAAACUGAAAGACUUGAGUAUUGGAGAGGCAAGUGGAAUUCCUAGUGUAGCGGUGAAAUGCGUAGAUAUUAGGAGGAACACCGGUGGCGAAGGCGGCUUGCUGGACAAAUACUGACGCUGAGGUGCGAAAGCGUGGGGAGCAAACAGGAUUAGAUACCUUGGUAGUCCACGCCGUAAACGAUGAGUGUUAGGUGUUGGGGAGACUCAGUGCCGCAGCUAACGCAAUAAGCACUCCGCCUGGGGAGUACGACCGCAAGGUUGAAACUCAAAGGAAUUGACGGGGGCCCGCACAAGCGGUGGAGCAUGUGGUUUAAUUCGACGCAACGCGAAGAACCUUACCAGGGCUUGACAUCCUUAGAAUCCUGAGGAAACUCGGGAGUGCCCUUCGGGGAGCUAAGAGACAGGUGGUGCAUGGUUGUCGUCAGCUCGUGUCGUGAGAUGUUGGGUUAAGUCCCGCAACGAGCGCAACCCUUGUCUUUAGUUGCCAGCAGGUGAAGCUGGGCACUCUAGAGAGACUGCCGGGGAUAACUCGGAGGAAGGUGGGGAUGACGUCAAAUCAUCAUGCCCCUUAUGUUCUGGGCUACACACGUGCUACAAUGGCUGGUACAACGGGAAGCGAAGGAGUAAUCCGGAGCAAAUCCUAAAAGCCAGUCUCAGUUCGGAUUGUGGGCUGCAACUCGCCCACAUGAAGCUGGAGUUGCUAGUAAUCGUGGAUCAGAAUGCCGCGGUGAAUGCGUUCCCGGGUCUUGUACACACCGCCCGUCACACCAUGGGAGCUCAGGGCACCCGAAGUCAGUGGGCUAACCGAAAGGGAGCAGCUGCCGAAGGUGGAAUGAGUGACUGGGGUG
rnacentral:rRNA from 1 species